GAUGAACGCUAGCGGCAGGCCUAACACAUGCAAGUCGAGGGAGAAGCCCUUUCGGGGGCAGACACCGGCGCACGGGUGCGUAACGCGUAUGCAACCUACCUUUCACAGGGGGAUAGCCCGAAGAAAUUUGGAUUAAUACCCCAUAAUAUUAUUGGAUGGCAUCAUUUGAUAAUUAAAACUGCGGUGGUGAAAGAUGGGCAUGCGUCCUAUUAGCUAGUUGGAGUGGUAACGGCACCCCAAGGCUACGAUAGGUAGGGGUCCUGAGAGGGAGAUCCCCCACACUGGUACUGAGACAGGGACCAGACUCCUACGGGAGGCAGCAGUGAGGAAUAUUGAUCAAUGGUCGGAAGACUGAACCAGCCAUGCCGCGUGCAGGAAGAAUGCCUUAUGGGUUGUAAACUGCUUUUAUAUGGGAAGAAUAAGGUGUACGUGUACAUUGAUGACGGUACCAUAUGAAUAAGCAUCGGCUAACUCCGUG
rnacentral:rRNA from 1 species